AACACACACACACACACACACACCAUCUAAAAAUCAAGAUAUACUCAUUUAGAGGGGAGAGAGAUAUUCUAGCUUAAAACAAAUGCUAAUGAUAAGUAACUUUACAAGAACAUCCCAAAGGCCUUGUACAAAUUUAAACUGAAACUAUGCCCUAUUUGCACAAAAAGUCAAAGGGAAAGGAGGGGCAAUAUCCAAAAAUUUUGGAACCAUUUUCAUAUGAGAAGUGAACAAUCCAGCAGGCUCUAUUGCCAUUUGCUCACCAGCUGCAAACCCAUCAGCAUAUUUAUCCUCAAGAACAGCAAUUCUGCACAAGUGAUGAGACUAAGAACCUGUCACCCCUGGGAAGAGUUCUGAUAUUUUGUUGAAGACAUCCAUAACCUAAAAUGAAAAUAGAGCGUCAAAUACACAUUUUCAGGUGCUUAAUGACCUAGUACAUUUAUGGAAGUUACAAUAUUAGGCCAAAUGGUUACUGGAAACAGAAAACUAAAGAUACAAGUCAAAGAACGCAAGAAUGCCAUCAUUCAAGGGGGCAGGAAAAACUCAUAUAACUUAAAAUUUCCAAGUAAAUUUUGAUCGCCAGCAAUCUCUUGAAAAUUCAUCUCAAGUGUUUCAAAUAAAUUAAAACCCCGAAAGCAUCUAUUGAGUAGACUUGAAGAAAAUUUUGAAAGUUAGGUACUCGAUGGAAAAUAUAAAAUUAAUCCAGGGACAAUGAACUCUUUGGGAGGGGGGAAAAAAAGAUACAGGUAAAAAAAGAUUAAAUAAUAAUUGUUAAAAAUGCUACUCCAGCAAUAAAGAUGCAACACAAGCAGGCAUUUAUAUGCAUAUAUAAAUGAAUGAAUCUCGUAAUACUCACCAAUUAAAAAAAAGAAAAGAAAAAUCCAGAGAA
rnacentral:misc_RNA from 1 species